GAGACACCCCUCCGGGGCAAGACUUGCUUCAGUGGGGCUUUGGUGCUCACUGAGUCUGCUCCCAGAUUGUGUCCCU
rnacentral:pre_miRNA from 1 species